rnacentral:SRP_RNA from 1 species
GCUGGGCAUGGUGGCGUGUGCCUGUAGUCCCAGCUACUCGGGAGGCUGAGGCAGAAGAAUCACUUGAACCCAGGAGGCGUAGGUUGCAGUGAGCCAAGAUUGUGCCACUGCAUUCCAGCCUGGAUGACACAGUGAGAUUCCAUCUCAA